UUGCAUUUUAUCUUAUCAGAUGAUCAUCUGAGAGAGAUACGGAUCGAAUAACAAGAUAUAAUCUUAGCGCUCUUUGAUCGAUCUUUCAUCGAUAUCUCUGGUUCAUAUGAUACUAGAUAAAAUCAUUCAAACUCAGCAGUCCACGCGCAAGUAAUCAAUUUGAAAAUCAGUGACAUUAUUUGAUAGCGAGUUCAUAGUGCAACCAGCGAGUACCUUUAAACCCAAAACAGCAAAUUUUAGGGGAAUCCAUAGCGAUUUGUAAACUACCGAGAGAUGUCCUUUGGUCUCGGAACCCCCUGAAAAUGAAUCAAUUUACCAUUAACCGGAUUCUAUCAGGGUCUGGACGAUGCAAAUCUAUACGUGAAACUGCCGUUGGGCGUACGAAACGAUCUUUAAAAUAAAUGAUAUGUUUUAUGCUUUAACCAAAAGUUCCACCAAUAAUAUACAAAAAACUAACAAAAAAAAAUUGUAUUUCAUACGACGUAAUUUUGCUAUUUAUUUGAAUUGACAUUCAGAUGAACCACCUACAAAUCUGAAGUUUUACUAGAAAUAAGCCGCACAAUUUUCAAUUAAAAAAAAAAAUCUAUCAGUGAACGCACUAAUAAAUCUUCUCACAAGAAAUCGAUAACAAUGCGCUGAAAAUCAUCCUAGAAAUCGACACAUGAUCAAUCAAAAAUGUUGUCUUAUAUGAUGGACCAGUAGUUGAAUUCCGGCGCACUUUUUCUUGGAAGAGAAGAAAAUUUUCUUCCAUAAUCCACCUGCAAGAAAAUUUUCUUUUCUUCGAAGAUAAUACGCGCCGGAAUUCGCCUACAAGUAUUGUUUCCUCAGACCUUGUCGUUGCCAGGCAUUGUCUUAUAAAAAAAAUGCAAAAGAAUUUGGCUCGACUUCUACAAAACAUCUUGAAAAUAUUAGCCUAUCUCGUAAGGAAUCCACACACAAGGAUCUUCAAAAAAUUGCCGAAGGCCACAAAAUUUCACACAAAAAAA